UACGUAGGGUGCGAGCGUUGUCCGGAAUUAUUGGGCGUAAAGAGCUCGUAGGCGGUCUGUCGCGUCGGUCGUGAAAACUUGGGGGCUUAACCCUGAGCUUGCGGUCGAUACGGGCAUGACUGGAGUUCGGUAGGGGAGACUGGAAUUCCUGGUGUAGCGGUGAAAUGCGCAGAUAUCAGGAGGAACACCGGCGGCGAAAGCGCGAUACUGGGCCAUAACUGACGCUGAGGAACGAAAGCCAGGGGAGCGAAAGGG
rnacentral:rRNA from 1 species